CAGCGCUCACCCAACGCCUCUGCGCCGCGGGGCCCGAGCCGCCGCGGCGAGUCGUCACCCGCAGGUUUUUAUGAACUCUUAAGAGCGUAAGUGUGGGCUAUUCCGGGACAGGAAUCACAUCUUAAGGGCUGAUUGUCCACCAGGAAUUUGACUGACAGACCCCGACCACGGAGAUUGUUUGCUCUGCACCACAGCCUUUCUGCUUCGUGCUAAGGAGACAGAAAGUACUGCCUGGGAUUAAAAAGAUACUGUUCCCCAAUUCUGCUUGGGAUGUCAGAUGGUGUGAGGACAAACAGGGUCAAUUAGUAUUCUCUUUCAUCAUCACAGAUGUUGCUAAGAAUUCCCUAAAUUGUAAUGGCCCUCUAAGGAUGUCUAUACUGGUCUUGACAACCCACAAAUGUCACAGCUAGUGGCGCAUACAUCAUGUAAUACUAAAGAGACAACCCCACUGGAGAAAACCCACAGCAACAUCUGGCCUUUUUGCUGAGCAAGAAUAUACAAUGAAACAUCACUGGAUGAACUACCAGAGGUUCAUUCCAUGCUAUUGUCUUUUUAAGCUGCUUUUCUGGUGGAAAAUGUACUGAAGCAGAUGACUGCCAGCGAUGUAAAUACUGAUUCAGCCUGCAUAAGGAAGCUUACACUCACUGAGCUCCACUGGACUUGUGAUGGAGGUAGCAGUCUCUUAAGAAGAAGAUGACAUCCCCACAAGUGUUAAAAACUCUUUAAGAAACAGGAUAUACUCUAUAUAUGUGUCAUGUCGUCAUUUCUGAAUCUGAAAGAUUGCCUCAUUACUGCUAAAUGGAUGGGAUCUAGGAGAAUUACUAGUUUUGAGCUGGGACGUACAGAAACCUGUCAUGUUGUAUUAAAAAAUAACCAAAUGCAAACAUUUUUGCAACCCCAUGUCAGCGGAAAAUAUCAGCAAAAUCUCUUCUUCAAGAGGUGAAAAAUUCUUGGAGUGCUCACAGAUCCCCAAGAGAGCAAACAACUGUCCUUCUGUGAUAGUGAGUGCUGGGAGCAGAAGCUACGCUGCGUGUCAAGUUAAUGAACAUUUACAAUUGCAAGAGGUUAAAGGUGGCAGGGGAGUGUGGAUGAUAGAGAUACCUCAGUGGUUUGGCUGACAGAUAACAGGGGGCCUGAAAGGUCAGCAAUAAGCUAAGAAAAGCUGCCUGCAAGAAACUUUGUGGAGUGAGGAAUGCGCCUGGCUACACCUGCUGAAGUUGCUGUGUAACUGACUGUGCCCUGGGACUGAAGGGAAUAUUUUUCAUCAGAGAUAGUGGCCACAGACAUCUCCCCAUCCAUGUACUGGAUGAAGAGCUGCCAAACUGCUGUGUUUGUGGCUAUGUUAAUGGGAUCCUGAUAACUAAAGCAACUUUCAGGUACAGUUACUGCUUCUUUCACAGGACAGUCAGUCAAGGAGCUCCUGACUUAGUAUCAAGCAAGCCUGGUAUAUAAGCAGCCUUAAGAUAAGAUAGAUAAUCCUAGCAUAGACUAAAAAAAAAAAAAAAUGAUAAAAUUAGAUGGAAGGAAUUGAUUGACAUUUUUCACAGUGGAAGGAUGUCUACAAAGAAUCCUACAAGGUCACCCACCAGGGUCUCUGAUCUGUAAAAGAGAGUGAACAGGAAGAUACUAAAAUCUGAUUAUGUCUAAGCUAUCCAGGAGAAUAAAGAAAAAGAACUCAUUAAAAAUAACUACAGGAGGAUCUCAGAGCACUGAGACAUGUAGAAGGAAAAUGGCAGAUAAAAAGUCAGUGUAGGUAACUGUGAACUGGUUAAUAUCAGAGAAAAAAGUUCUAGCUUAUCUUUCAUCAAAAGCAGCUCUGGUCUGGUUGUUUCUAUAUUAAAAAAAAAAAAAAAGAAAAAAUAAAAAAACAUAAUGAUUUUAAUAAAAUUCAGUUUUCUGUAUGAAUUAAAAUGGCAAAACAAAUGUUAGGAAUUAUCUUGGACAGAAUAAAAAGCAAAACAGAAAAUGUACUUAUGCCACUGUAUAACCUUCCUUCUCUUGCACCGUGAGCACCAUGUGUUCCCCAGAAGGUGUAGAGGAAAUGGAAAAAGCAAAGCAAAAACAAGAACAAUCAAAUAUUUUUGUGCAAAGAAUAAUUGAAUGGACAGUCUGAAUGGCAGUGAUGACUAUAGUUGUCAGUAGGCAAUGAAUACAAUGGGAAUAAUUGGUAAGGAAUGAGUAUUUAUGAAUUCCACUAGAAUGGGAACAAAGAGACACUGAACGGGGUGAGAAAAACAGAGCAAAACAAGACAUACCUCUGCACUGAGUGUGUACUUAACUUGGGUAUUCCAUGUAGGGGUGCUGUGACUGUGUGCAUGCUCAGUUUACAGGGUUUCACAAAAGGAUUGCACAAAUGCAGAGAAGAAGAAUCUACCAGAGGAUAUUGCAUUCAAAGACCCAGGAAAUUACUGAACUGCAAAACACUGGAUACUAGGAAUGUAUUCAAGAGAAACACACCUCUUUCUCUCACAUCUGGCUUUAGACACUGCUGGAGACAGGACAAAUAUUCUAGGGCAACCUUUGGUCUUGAAAUAGUUCUUAUGUUUUUUUUUUUUUUCAAGGUUUUGGUCACCUUCCUGUUUGCAAAAUACCAUAGGCAAUCCCUCUGGCACUGCUAUGACACAGCUGCAAAUGCUUUUAUAAGCUUUCUCCCACCACCAUGAUGAUCCAGAUAGAUUCUGGGAUAUGAAAAAUGCUCUUAUUCUUGAGCCACAGUAGAGCAUUCAAUUCUGCAAGCAGGCAUGGGAAUAACUUUGAGUAUACCAGACACUGAUUUUGGUACACUUGGUUUAAAAUUAAAAAUCUGAAUAAUUUUUCUGAAAAUAAUUUUUCUGAAAAUUCUGAAAAUAUUGAAAUAUUUG
ensembl:lncRNA